rnacentral:rRNA from 1 species
ACGAAAGUCUGAUGGAGCAACGCCGCGUGAGUGAAGAAGGCCUUCGGGUCGUAAAGCUCUGUUGUUAGGGAAGAACAAGUAUCGGAGUAACUGCCGGUACCUUGACGGUACCUAACCAGAAAGCCACGGCUAACUACGUGCCAGCAGCCGCGGUAAUACGUAGGUGGCAAGCGUUGUCCGGAAUUAUUGGGCGUAAAGCGCGCGCAGGCGGUCCUUUAAGUCUGAUGUGAAAGCCCACGGCUCAACCGUGGAGGGUCAUUGGAAACUGGGGGACUUGAGUGCAGAAGAGGAAAGCGGAAUUCCACGUGUAGCGGUGAAAUGCGUAGAGAUGUGGAGGAACACCAGUGGCGAAGGCGGCUUUCUGGUCUGUAACUGACGCUGAGGCGCGAAAGCGUGGGGAGCAAACAGGAUUAGAUACCCUGGUAGUCCACGCCGUAAACGAUGAGUGCUAAGUGUUAGGGGGUUUCCGCCCCUUAGUGCUGCAGCUAACGCAUUAAGCACUCCGCCUGGGGAGUAC